GAUGAACGCUGGCGGCGUGCCUAAUACAUGCAAGUAGAACGCUGAAGGAAGGAGCUUGCUCUUUCCGGAUGAGUUGCGAACGGGUGAGUAACGCGUAGGUAACCUGCCUGGUAGCGGGGGAUAACUAUUGGAAACGAUAGCUAAUACCGCAUAACAGUAGAUGUUGCAUGAUAUCUACUUAAAAGGUGCAAUUGCACCACUACCAGAUGGACCUGCGUUGUAUUAGCUAGUUGGUGAGGUAACGGCUCACCAAGGCGACGAUACAUAGCCGACCUGAGAGGGUGGUCGGCCACACUGGGACUGAGACACGGCCCAGACUCCUACGGGAGGCAGCAGUAGGGAAUCUUCGGCAAUGGACGGAAGUCUGGCCGAGCAACGCCGCGGGAGUGAAGAAGGUUUUCGGAUCGUAAAGCUCUGUUGUAAGAGAAGAACGAGUGUGAGAGUGGAAAGUUCACACUGUGACGGUAUCUUACCAGAAAGGGACGGCUAACUACGUG
rnacentral:rRNA from 1 species